AAGUGAAAGAUGUUGUACAUGAAAGAAAACCUACUCUUCCGUAAAAGACCGGACGUAGUCGAUAAUGGCGGGCUGGUACUCGAUAUUAUUUAUUAUAGACUUCCUUUACAGUCGAUAGGUUGCUCAAACCUUUUAAAAAUUUCAAUGACCGGCUUGUUAAUCACAUUAGCGACGGUCAUAGAGUGCACGAAGUCCAUGUGGUGCCAGGACGGCGUGGAGAUCCGAUGCAUCACCGCCUCCGGCAAACUGGUGGCGAAGUUUUCAACAUCCUCCUUUGCGGCGGAUAGGUCAUCAUCGCUAUAAAAUAUGUGGACUGGCGUCAGGGGGCGGACGUUAUGUAGCGGGUAGUCGGGAGGUGUGAGGCUCCUGUAGUUGAUCAAGUUCCUCAGGAUCCCGAAAUCGAAUGGUCUGAACCUGCCGCUGUCCGUGAGCUGGAUGAAGUGCUUGGGCUGGCGGGAAGAAACUCCCGCUGGAAGCGUGGCGGCAAUCAGAGGAAUCGCACUCUGGAAAUGUUAAUGUUCAGAAUAAAUACAAUAUAUAUUUUGACCAUUCG
ensembl:ncRNA asRNA:CR46018 antisense RNA:CR46018